rnacentral:rRNA from 1 species
GGUGAGUAACACGUGGAUAACCUACCUAUAAGACUGGGAUAACUUCGGGAAACCGGAGCUAAUACCGGAUGAUAUUUUGAACCGCAUUGUUCAAAAGUGAAAGACGGUCUUGCUGUCACUUAUAGAUGGAUCCGCGCUGCAUUAGCUAGUUGGUAAGGUAACGGCUUACCAAGGCAACGAUGCAUAGCCGACCUGAGAGGGUGAUCGGCCACACUGGAACUGAGACACGGUCCAG